GGUCGUUUGGCCUAAUGGAUAAGGCGUCGGACUUCUAAGAAAGUAGUUAUCCGAAAAUUGCGGGUUCGAGUCCCGCCACGAUUA
rnacentral:tRNA from 1 species